rnacentral:lncRNA from 1 species
UCAAAACAUUCAUCUUUUUUAAACAAAAGACCUUUACCAGGACUUAGCUUAAGAUAUCUCAACAAUCUUAAAGCCACUUUAAGAUGUGAUUCACAAGGUCUAUGCAUAUACUGGCUUAAAAACUGUACAGCAUAACAGAUAUCUGGACGCGUCAAAGACAAGUAGAUCAGUUUUCCAAUUAACUUUUGAUAACCUGUUAUUUCAACUAACACUUCCUGUUUAUCCUCUAAAUCUUUAUUAAUAACAUGACUUAACUCAAUAGGUGUACCAACAGGUUUACAACCAAGAUAACCAAACUCAGCCAAGAGAUCCAAACAGUACUUUCGCUGAUUCAAACAAAUUCCAGAUUUAUCAUAAAUAACUUCUAAACCAAGGAAAUAUUUCAACACACCUAAAUCCUUGAUUUGAAAACUUUUACUAAGGAGACUUUUAAUUCUACUAAUUUCAACACCACUAUUCCCAGUUAUGACAAUAUCGUCAACAUACACAAGUAAAACUAUAAAGACAGAAUUCUUAUUCAAAACAUAUAAAGAAUGAUCACACUGACUCUGAACAAACCCAACAUCACACAAAACAUUAGUUAAUUUUUCAUUCCAUUUUCUCGGAGCUUGCUUUAAUCCAUACAAGGACUUGACUAACUUACACACUUUACCAUCAUUUUUAGAAUAAUAACCCUCGGGAAGAGUCAUAUACACAUCUUCUGUUAUUGACCCGUAAAGAAAUGCAUUAUUAACAUCUAGUUGGUAUAACACCCAACCUUUUUGAACAGCAAGACUCAAAACACAUCGAACAGUCACCAUUUUUACAACUGGUGAAAAUGUUUCACCAAAAUCAAUACCCUCCCGUUGGUUAUACCCCUUAGCUACUAACCUAGCUUUAUAACGUUCUAUUUCACCGUUAGCCUUGUAUUUAAUCUUAUAAACCCAUUUGCACCCAAUGGGUUUUCUAUUAGCAGGUAAGUCAACAAUAUUCCAAGUUUGAUUUCUAAGCAACGCUUCCAUUUCAACAUUCAUGGCUUCAACCCAUUUAGGGUCUUUCGAGGCCUCACCGAAACUACUCGGUUCAACAGAUUUAUUUAAACUACUUAUAAAGCACACAGAAUCAGCAGUCAAAUAAGAACAAUUAACAGUCUUAUUUAUAUCAUAUUUAACACAGCUAUUUAAAACAAAAUCUUGGAACCUUUUUGGAACCGAAACAACUCUAGAAGACCUUCUAAGGCCUUCUACAUUUCCCUCAGAUGGGCUGAUUUCAUCACUUGACACAGCAGUGUCCUCUGCCUCGCCAAACUCCACCCUAUUACUACCAUCUUCACUAGAUCCUAAGCUAUCUAGACCAGGAGUAGCAGAUGUAGAGGGAAUUGGCUGCUGAUCAUCACUGACUAUGUCAUGAAAAUCAGUAGCACCCUCUUCAUCAUUGGGAGUUAACAAAACUUCAGGUGUAUUUGCUUCAAUUUUAUCAAAAAAAUUUAUUAGAUUUAAACUGUUAUCAACCACAACAUUUUCAACAAUUUUAUUCGACUUAAAAGGGUAUACAUUCUCAUAAAACUUGACAUCUCUUGAGAAAAACACUUUUUUCUCAUCCAAACUCCACAAUUUAUACCCUUUUUUUACACUGGAAUAACCUAUUAACACACACUUAUCAGCAUGAUAAGCAAAUUUAUCCGAUUCAUUUAAAAUGGUACUAAAGCAAAGACACCCAAAAUUUCUAAGAUGAGACAAAGAGGGUUUAAAUUUAAACAUAACCUCAUAUGGACUCCUACCAUUUAACACAGAAGACGGAAGCCUGUUAACAAUAUACACAACAGUCAGAAUGCAAUCACUCCAAAACCUCAAGGGUAGACCACCCUGAAACAUCAAAGCUCUGGCUAUAUUUAAGAGAUGCCUAUGCUUCCGUUCAACCACCCCAUUUUGUUGUGGGGUGUAUGAACAUGAAGUCUGAUGUAUUAUACCUUUGGUUUUACAAAAUAAUGACAUUUGACUGUUAACAAACUCAGUUCCAUUGUUACUUCUAAAAAUUUUAACCUUCCUUUUAAACUGAGUUUGAACUAUUUCAUAAAAAUCUUUAAGAUUUUCAAACACUUCCAUUUUAUUUUUUAAAAGAAAACACCACACAGACCUUGAAAAAUCAUCAACCACAGUCAAGAAAUAUUUAAACCCUUCAUAACUAGUGACCUUAUACGGACCCCAUAAAUCUAAAUGAAUUAAAUCACCUACUUCCUUAGUCUUAUGUUCACUCAAAGGAAAUGGCACUCUUACUUGCUUAGACCUAUGACAAAUCUCACAAGGACUAUAACCUGAUCUGAGGGGUGGCCCAACCUACUAUGCCACAAAUCAGACUUAACAACACUAUUAAAACACAUAUUCACAACAUUACCAUCUUUUCCUACAAAAUACAGCCCAUUUUCUUGUUUACCAAUCACCAGGAUUUUCUUUGACUUCAAAUCCUGAAGCAUACAAUUAUUCUCAUUAAACAAUACAGUAAUGUUGUUAUCUUUAGCUAACUUAUGAACAGACAACAAGUUAACACUAUAUUCAGGCACAUAAAACACAUCCUUUAACACAACAUUAUUAAUCAAUCUUAGUUCCCCAAUUUUUAAAACACUCACACUAGUUCCAUUAGGGUGACCAACCUUUAAACCACAUUCAGACACAUCUAUACAGUUAAACAUAUUUUCAUCAUUUUUAACCAUAUGUUGAUUAGCACCAGAAUCAACAACCCAAUUAUGAUUAUGACUAAAAAUAGAACUACUAGAGCAACUAACAAAACUGUAAACACAUGAGGACAUACCUCCCAUAUUAGACUUCACCUGAUCUCCCUCAGGUUUAUCACCAACUAAACUUAUAAGCUUUGCAAUCUGUUCAGAAGUGAAAGGCAAAGCAGAAACAGCAGAACUAGAAGGACCAGUAGACACACUAGACUUAUUUGCAUUGUUACCACUAUUAUUUCUACCAAAAGUCCCACUAGAUCUUUUCCUCAUACCAGGAGGAUAUCCAAUUAUCUCAAAACAACGAUCAACAGUAUGACCAAUCAUAUUACAGUUAGUACACUUCAGAUUAGAAUUUGAUCCCCUAAAAUUGUUUCUUCUUCUAGAAUCAAAAUUCUGAUUUGAUUUAGCAACAAAUGACACAGACUGACUCUUUGACCCACUAUUUGAGAGUCUAUGUGACUCUUCUCUAGAAAUUAAAGCAUAAGCUGCUUUAACAGAAGGAAAUGGUUCUCUUGUCAACAACUGGGUUCUCACAGGUUGAUACACAUCAUCCAGACCCAUGAGAAACUGCAUUAGUUUAAUUAGAGUUGAAAAAUCAUUAUAGUCUUUGGCUGCCUGACAAGAACAUGAAGGCAGUUGCACCAUUGCAUCAAACUGCUUCCACAUAGUUGUCAGCUUGUUAUAAUAUUCAGCCACAGAACUACCAUUUUGAGAUAUACAGUUAAUUCUUUUAUACAAGUCAUAAACAACAGAACCAUCAACCUUAUCAUAGGUUUCUUUAAGGUCAAUCCAAACUUCAGAAGCAAGUCUAGAGAAAACUUGCCCUAAAAACAAUUCCUCAGAUACAGAAUUAAGUAACCAGGUUAAGACCACAGAGUUGCACCUAUCCCAUUGAGCAGCAAGCACAUCAUUAUCUUUAGGUUUCUCACAUUUACCAUUUAUAAACCCAAACUUAUUUUUUGCUUCCAGUGCAAGUUUCAUUGCACUGGACCAAACUGAGUAAUUUUCAGUACCUUUAAGUUUUAAAUUUACUAUGGUUAAAGCACUUGAGUCACUGGGAUGUAGGUAAAGUGGAUCCCCUAUGUCCAACUUGCUGAUAAGGGUAACAGAUGUACCCUCACCCCCAGUCAUGAAUCAAACAAUAACAACACAGAUAACACAAGCAACAACAAGCAACAGAUAGAACAAGAAACUAUCACAAAAAAUAGGCGAAGCUGAGUCAGGGACCAGAUUCCAGGUUCAUCACUCAGAGGUGCCUGGAAAAGCCUUUACUCAGGAGCCACACUAAGAACUAGACACACAACAAACAAUCAACAAUAACAAAUAAGGUGCCGGUCCUCACUACCCCGACUUCAACUAGCCA